AAAGUCUUAUUUUAAUAUAAAAGAACAAUAACUAUAAACAAUGUGUAAUAAUCUAAUGAUUAAUGAUACUGUUAAAAAUUUUACGAAGUGAUUUAACUCUUUCGAUAUAAGAUGAAAUAUUACCGCGAAAAAGUGGUAAAUUUAACUAAAUUCUAAUAGGUUGCAACACAUUUGAAUGUCAAAAUAACUUUGUUAAAAGAUGUUAAAAAUACGGUGUUAAUCUGUUUAUUCCUCACAGUGUAAUUUACACUUUUCAACUCUGCAUUAUGAUUAAAAGUAGAAUACAAAUAAUUCGAUGUAAACUAACUAAAUUUAAAAUUGUAUUAACCCCGCUAUGUAGUUUUCGUUGUGGUCACAUGAUCUAUCACGUGAUUCUUCUACAGUAUUGGCAAUUUUUAGUCGAAGCAAGUCGCAGCAUGCACAAACGUUAUUAAAUCGUGGAUCAUUAAUUUUUAAAUAUUUUCUAUAUUUUUAUUAAAAUGUAUGAGUGGUGCAUUCGCGUAAAGUAUGACCGAAAGAAGAGAGUUAAGUUAAGUGGGCAAGAAUUGGCUAAACAAUUGAUUGAUGAAGCGGGUUGCUUUAAAUUUCCGAUUAAAAUUUCAAAAUUUUGGAAGGCAGAAAGGCAAGUUUCCGAAAUAUAUCGAUAAACUAUUUAAAACGUACACUUCUAAUAUUCAAAAAGAACCACCGAAAGGUAAUAACUAAUAACAAAUGAAUUGUUUAUGCGUUCUGUAAAUGUUAUUUUUCAGGUUGAGAUAAGGAUACAAAUGCGAUUUUAACAUUAUUUCACUUAUCACCACCUAUCGCAAUGAGAAGAAGAUGGGCGAAAAAGGUAUCAAUUACUGAGAUUCAAAAAUUAAUAUGUUUUCAUGAUGUAAGUUUUUACUAUACAGGUAAACGUCGUUUUGCGCCGGUUCGAUUUACACCGAUUCACAAUUACGCCGGUUGGUGCCGGCGUGGGAUUCCCCGGUUCGCCCGACAUCAGACGACAGUAGGCAAAGAAUAUUCAAUUUGUAGUUUCAUUAUGGACGACAAUAGUGAUUCAGAACCCAAACAUCGUGCGUAAAAAGCACGAAAAACAAUAAGCCUGGAGACAAUUACAAAAUAGACGUAAUUACACGCAUUGAAGAUGGCCAAACCCGACCUUUUGUCUGUAGAGCUCUAAAUUUACCUCCGUCCACUGUGACAACAAUUAUGAAAAACGCUGAGAAAAUAAAACAUUCCACUCGACAGACAACGGCUGUAAGUGUAAAGAACCUAACUUGCAGCCACAACAAAAAUAUAGAGAAAAUGGAAAAAAUGUUGGCAUUGUGGGUUGAUGAUGUCAAUCAAGAAAAUAUUCCUGUAACACGAAUAAUCAUAUGCGAAAAAGAACUAUUGAUUUUUCUGAUUUGAAGACGCAAGAAAACACUGACGAAACUUUCUUGGCAAGCACUGGGUGGUUCACGAGAUUCAAAUCUCGAACCGUAGCACUAAACUAAGCGGCGAAGCAGCGAGCGCUGAUGUAGCAGCAGCAGCAACUUACCGUCAAAAGUUUCAAGAAAUUGUGGAAUAAGGGAGUUACCCUGCAGAUCUCAUCUUCAAUUUUGAUGAAACAGGCCUCUAUUGGCAGAAGUUGCCAUCGAGAACGUUUAUUUCGCGAGAAGAACGUAGCACUCUUGGAUUUAAAGCCGCCAAGGAUAGACUGACUCUCAAAGUAUUUCUCAAAAAGUUUUUACUUUGACAUAGAUCCUAUUUUAUAGACUGACUGUUCUCUUGGGACCAAAUGUUUCUGGUUCCUUAAAAUUUAAGCCAAUGGUUGUCUACCAUUCCCAGAAUCUACGGGCUUUUAAAGGUCUUGACAAAAGUUCCCUGCCAGUUUUUUUGGAGGUGGAAUAAAAAGGGUCACUCAGAAGAUAUUCACAGACAGGUAUAAAAAUUAUUUUUGCCCUACUGUGCUUAAAUUUUGUGACCAAAAUAACCUUCCAAAGAAAGCAAUCUUGACGCCUUAGACACGGGAUUGGACGUCAAGGUAAUUUACAUGCUCUGUAACACAACCUCCGUUUUACAACCCAUGGAUCAGGGGGUAAUUUCUACCUUUUAACGUAUCAUUUGCGGAUAACAUUAAAAGCACUGAUUAAGGGCCACCUCUGUAUAUAGGAUAUGUAUAAAUAAACAUGUUAGAUUGUUCAGAUUGACAUGAAACCUAACCUUAUAUCGUCCAUUAUAUUUGUGUUCAUUUUACGCCGAUUUUGUUUAUACCGGUGUCUCUCGGAACAGAACCCUGGCGUAAAACGACGUUUACCUGUACAAAUUUGGUUUCUUAUAACACAACUGCCUAAUGUAAUGAUAUUGAACUUUUUUUACAUAUAUAUUAUUUUUUUUUUCGUUUUAUUUUAGCAAUCUCCAUUGCUUGUUGAAAAUAUAUUGCCUUUGCCUUGCUUUUUGAGGAGCGGUUCUCCCUCCCUACCAUUGUUAAAUUCACUUGUUUAACAUAGUUGUGAAUAAUUAUCGCAAUAAAAUGCGUUAAAAUUUUA